ACGCUUGGCGGCGUGCCUAACACAUGCAAGUUGAGCGGUAAGGCCCCUUCGGGGGUACACGAGCAGCGAACGGGUGAGUAUCGCGUGGGUAAUCUACCCAGAGGUGCGGGAUAGCCUCGGGAAACCGGGGGUAAUACCGCAUGAGUCCUCGACGGCACAAGUCGAUGAGGGGAAAGGCGGGGCUCCUUCGGGACCUGUCGCCUCUGGAUGAGCCCGCGUCCGAUUAGCUUGUUGGCGGGGUAAUGGCCCACCAAGGCAACGAUCGGUAGCCGGCCUGAGAGGGUGAACGGCCACAUUGGGACUGAGACACGGCCCAGACUCCUACGGGAGGCAGCAGUGGGGAAUAUUGGGCAAUGGGGGAAACCCUGACCCAGCGACGCCGCGUGNAGGAUGACGGCCUUCGGGUUGUAAACUCCUGUCAGGUGGGAAGAAAAGCUAUUCGGCUAAUAUCCGAAUGGAAUUGACGGUACCACCAAAGGAAGCCCCGGCUAACUCCGUGCCAGCAGCCGCGGUAAUACGGAGGGGGCAAGCGUUAUUCGGAUUUACUGGGCGUAAAGCGCACGUAGGUGGCAUGGUAAGUCACAGGUGAAAGCCCUCGGCUCAACCGGGGAACUGCCUUUGAAACUGCUUUGCUUGAGUCCGGGAGGGGG
rnacentral:rRNA from 1 species